GCUUGCGCACUUCAGCCCGCGCAGGGAGCACCACCCCCCCUCAACGACCCCCCCCGCAGUCGGACCUUCUUUCAUCCUUCGCGCCAGGCGAAGCCCGGGACGUUGACAUGCCGGAGAUCCGGCUUCGCCAUGUGGUGUCCUGCAGUAGCCAGGACUCGACCCACUGUGCAGAAAACCUUCUCAAGGCGGACACUUACCGAAAAUGGCGAGCAGCCAAGGCAGGCGAGAAGACUAUCUCUGUGGUGCUCCAGUUGGAGAAGGAGGAACAGAUACACAGCGUGGACAUCGGCAAUGACGGCUCGGCCUUUGUGGAGGUGCUGGUGGGCAGCUCGGCCGGAGGGGCUGGGGAGCAAGACUACGAGUGCCUUUUGCUGGAGCUGAUGAAGUCCAAUCAAUCAAGGGUCCUGCUGGUCACUUCAUCUUUUAUGUCCCCUUCCGAGAGCCGCAGUGGCUCAAACCCCAAUCGUGUUCGCAUUUUUGGGCCUGACAAGUUGGUCCGGGCAGCAGCAGAGAAGCGCUGGGACCGCGUCAAAAUUGUUUGCAGCCAGCCCUACAGCAAGGACUCCCCGUAUGGCCUGAGUUUUAUACGGUUUCACAGCCCCCCAGACAAAGAGGAGGCAGAGGCCUCACCCCAGAAGGUGACGAAGCUUGGCCAGUUCCGCGUGAAGGAGGAGGAUGAGGGUGCCAGCUCCUUGAGACCUGGGGCCCUCUUCUUCAGCAGGAUCAAUAAGACCCCCCCAGCCGCAGCCAGUGACCCGGCAGGACCCAGCUAUGCAGCUGCUACCCUGCAGGCCUCUAGUGCCGCCUCUUCAGCCUCUCCGGUCUCCAGGACAGUAGGCGGCAGCUCCAAGCCUCAAGAGUCCCCCAAAGGCAAGAGAAAGUUGGAUUUGAACCAAGAAGAAAGGAAGAUGCCCAGCAAACCAUCAGCCCAGUCCUCACCACCAGCCGUCAAGAGACCCAAAUUGCCAGCUCCCACCCGCACCCCAGCCACCACCCCAGUCUCUGCCCCAGCACGAGGCACAGUGCCAGGAAAGACCCGAGAAGGCACCGAACCCAGGGGACCCCGAGCUGGCCCGCAGGAGCUGGGGAAGAUCCUUCAGGGUGUGGUGGUGGUGCUGAGUGGCUUCCAGAACCCCUUCCGCUCAGAGCUCCGAGACAAGGCCCUGGAGCUGGGGGCCAAAUAUCGGCCAGACUGGACUCCAGACAGCACCCACCUCAUCUGUGCCUUUGCCAACACCCCCAAGUACAGCCAGGUCCUAGGUCUCGGAGGCCGCAUCGUGCGGAAAGAGUGGGUGCUGGACUGUCACCGAAUGCGGCGUCGGCUGCCCUCACGGAGGUACCUCAUGGCAGGGCCAGGCUCCAGCAGUGAGGAUGAAGGGACCUCUCAUAGUGGCGGCAGCGGGGAUGAAGCCCCCAAGCUUCCCCAAAAGCGCCCCCAGACCAAAACCAAGCCCCCUCAGGCAGCAGGACCCAGCUCACCUCAGAGACCCAAAACGCCAGAAGAGACCAAACCAGCCUCACCAGGGCCCCAGGAAGAUACCGACACUGACGGGGAGCAUUCAGAAGAACAGGGCAAUGGGGCAGAAGACUCUGGGGAUACCGAGGAUGAGCUGAGAAGGGUGGCCGAGCAGAGGGAGCAAAAGCAGCCCCCUGACCAGGGGGAGAAUGGCGAGGACCCGUAUGCAGGAUCCACAGAUGAGAACACAGACAACGAGGGUCCCCCAGAGUCUCCCGACCUGCCAGUUCCUGAGCUCCCAGACUUCUUCCAGGGCAAACACUUCUUCCUGUACGGAGAGUUCCCCGGAGAUGAGCGGCGGAAGCUCAGCCGAUAUGUCACAGCCUUCAAUGGGGAGCUUGAGGACUACAUGAGCGACCGGGUCCAGUUUGUGAUCACAGCACAGGAGUGGGACCCCAGUUUUGAGGAGGCCCUGAUGGACAACCCCUCCUUGGUGUUCGUCCGCCCCCGAUGGAUCUACAGUUGCAACGAGAAGCAGAAGUUACUUCCCCACCAGCUUUAUGGGGUGGUGCCCCACGCCUAAAGUGAGCAAAGAAUUCCUCAGCCUUAUAAGUUGGAGCCCAGUGUGGAGCCAGUCUCCCUGCCAGCUGUCUGGUCGAGGUUAUGGAAAAUUUCAAACAUAACCAAAAGGAGAGGAAGAGUAUAAUCAGCCCCUCACCAGCCCAUCACCCAGGUUCAUCAUGACCAAUCUUCUUCCACCUCCCCCUGCCCCUUAAGGUCCUUGAAGCAAACUCCACACAUUUCAUCCAGAAACACUUCAGUGUGUGUCUCUAAAAAAUAAGGACUCUCUUUCAGUCUUUUAAACACAACCCAAAGUAUCAGUACCAAACUUUUAAACUUUAGAGUCGUUUCUUUACAUUAUCACAUUUCUCCCAUGGUCCCAUGUAUAUCUUGUUUUUCCUUUCCAGAACAAUGUUUUCUUUCAAACAUACAGAAAAUGUGAGAGAACAGAAUUGUUCUCUGCGUUAAUAAUACAAGUGGCGCCAGCAUCAACAAUUUUCUA